GAGCAUCUGACUACGGAUCAGAAGGUUGGGGGUUCGAAUCCCUUCGAGCGCG
rnacentral:tRNA from 1 species